UAGGGAAUAUUGCAAAAUGGGCGAAAGCCCGAUGCAGCAACGCCGCGUGCGCGAUGAAGGCCUUCGGGUCGUAAAGCCCUUUUUGAGGGGAUGAGGAAGGACAGUACCCUCAGAAUAAGCCUCGGCUCACUACGUGCCAGCAGCCGCGGUAAAACGUAGGAGGCGAGCGUUAUCCGGAUUUACUGGGCGUAAAGCGCGUGCAGGCGGAUUGGAGAGUUGGAUGUGAAAGCUCCCGGCUUAACUGGGAGAGGUCGUUCAAUACUUCCAGUCGUUAGUGCAGUAGAGGAAAGUGGAAUUCCGGGUGUAGUGGUGAAAUGCGUAGAUCUCCGGAGGAACACCAGUGGCGGAAGCGGCUUCCUGGACUGUAACUGACGCUCAGACGCG
rnacentral:rRNA from 1 species